AUAAAUCAGUGCGAGAAUUGAAGGUUGCGCGCAGUGAUAACGUUUUAAUCGAUUGGUGAUUGUGCGGUUGGAGUAUUUGCGCCGCGGUGCGGCAGUGAUAAGGAGACGGAGACGUUGACGAGGAUAAUUCCAUCAUAAUGUUUAACUUUAUAAAAAAAUCCGGCGACAAAGACGCCGACAAAG